GAAUUGAAUGAAGCCACAGAAAAACAAUACUCUUAAAAGCCCCUGGUGUGGCAGAAAUAAAAUGGAUCAAGAAGUGCUGAAGUCUCUCUUACUGAAUGCAGUCUUAGUAUCUAGUGUUACAUUAAUUGUACAUCUUGUGCUCCAGUAA